UCCGCAUAAGACCACCCCUUCUUUCCUUCUUUUUCUUUUCUUCUUUCCUCUUCCUUUCUCUUUUCGUCUCUUCCUCCUUCAGACACUUCCCCUUUUCUUUAACCACUUUCCUCUUCUUUUGAUGCCUUGCUAGUCCAGCAGUCCUGCUUGCUUUAACAGGGAGAACCUCCUUUCUUGAUUGUCUUGUCACUUGAGAGACUCAUAACUUGCGCCGCUACUUCAGGGUACUGUUCGUCAGCACGGAAGUGAUAUUUCGGACACUCAGAUCGUAAAACUUUCUUCAUCGAAGUUGAUCAUCUGCUCGGUUACUAUAUGCUGUAAAAAUUUCAGAAUUUUUCGAAUUUUGCUGGAUGCCUGAACCUGCUCCGUAAUGUCUGUGUUCAUUCACGGCUGGUGAGCAUCUGCCUGUUCGGUUUUCCACACUUGUUUUCGAUAUUUGCUGCUUGGAUGAUCUCGAUUUCUUCAUGAAAGCUGGUUGAAAUUAUGUUAUCUAAAUCAUAUCCAAAAUCCAGAAUCAUCCGACCAUUGUAAUGUCCUAUGGUUUCAUUUUCUCCACAAUAUGUUCAUCGAUUGAUUCCGAAUCACUAAGCAUUGACAGUAGCACUUUGCCUUUUGAGACAUGCAGCUCUAUCCUUGAUGCCAACUAGAAACUGAAAAUGGUGGGCAGGAGUAGCCAAGGCAUUCCUUAUAUACGAUUCUCUUUUUGUGGGAGAGGGAGUGCGCAAAUCUCUUUGGUUCCAAGCUUGAUGGAGUUGGUUUAGCUGUGCUCCAAAAGCUUCUUCUUAAGAUGCAAGUUCCUCUGCCUUUUCCCAUGAAAGAUGAUCUUUAUCUUUUAUGUUGCUUCUUCAAGAGUUAACCGCUGCUUAAUAAUGAAACCAAGUUCAACUAGAGAUGCCCCCUCCAUCUCCACCAAUCGAUUGAUGAAGUUCAUUAACGAACUCUGCUGGAGGAACUCAGAAUUUUAUGGCUUCUAAAGCUUUGCCAAUUCAUCCUGGUUCGACUAUGAAGGAUCACUUAUUUUCCCUGAACGAUGGUUUGAAGAAAGGACGACCUCCUCCGUCAAUCAAGAAUAUUUGCACGCUUAUGGGGGGAGAACCAGCACCAGAGACAAUUCCUACUAUAGAUCCCACAACCGUUUCUAGAUGCUGUAUAGAAAAAGGCUUGUUCCCAGCGGUUCCUCUUUUUUUUCAGUAUCCUUGUGGCAUUACUAAGGGCUGGUCUGAAUGGGUUGAGUCCGAGUUGGCAAACCCGGUUUCUCUAGAUAUCCUGCGGAGGACCGAAGUGUUGGACGCCAUCUUCUUAUCUAGAAAAUAUGAGAUUCAUUUAGAAGUGGAGCUACUUCGCCAUGUGGUUCGUAGAUGGAGCACUGACACCCAUACUUUUAUAUGUUCAUGGGGGGAGUUCACCCCUACUCUUGAAGACGUGGUGAACCUCCUUCAUCUUCCAGUUAGCGGUAAUCAAGAUCCAUUUAAUAUUCUGCUGAGUGCCGAGGACAAAAAAAGACUUCAUAUUCUUCGGAAGGGUGCUCCUAUUUCCAGUAGUCGGUCCCUUCGGUUUAGUAGUUGGGUGAGACAUUUUGGGAAUAAAGACAAAGAAAAUCCUUGCCGACUGUCGGCACUGUUAUCUAUGUGGUUGGGAAAGUUCGUGUUUUGUGACUUCCACCAAGAUCUCAUUCAUGAUAGGGUAUUCCCCAUGGCUUUGUCAAUUGCAAGGGGUGAUGCAAUCCCCUUAGCCCCCAUGUUCUUGGGACACCUGUAUCUUUUACUGGACCAAGUACAUUUUCUUGAAAAAGGGGUUGCUGGGAGCAUGGCAUUAGAAACUCUUCUUAAUUCAAGCUUUCUGCAAGUAUUUCUCUGGGAGCGCAUCAAGGGUUUGAACGUAUCUCCACUUUCUUUUCCACAGGCUAAGGCACUUAUCGAAACCAGUGAGGAUUCCUACACGCCGAAAAUGCUCCCCUUAAUUUCCCGGUGGUUCAAAAGGAGACAACGUAAAGGUCAAGAUUUUCUUGAGUCAUUGGACAACAUUGAGAACUUCAUUUUUCGCCCUUACACCAUGGUGCCGAAAGGGUUUGAGCAUGUGUCCCUCUAUGGAGAUCUGGAUGGAGUAGCAAAGAUUUCCAUGGUAAUGACGAGCGGUGCACCGCAGAAAAGAAAUGCCAUCCUGAAUGUGGCGAGUCUUCCACUACCUACUUUCGGAGAUAACCAUGGUGAAACUUCUGUUUAUUAUUCACCACAUCGGGUUAAACUACAACAUGGGCUUGAUCAAGGCGUUCCACUGGGGCCUGGUUACCACGAACCGUCUUCAAUGCACAAGUUUUAUUGGAAUGGUGCUGCAGACCAUAGUAGGGAAUUUGCUUUUGCAUUGGCUGAUAAAGGAAGAGCUGGCAGCUUCUCAAAAGGUUACAGGGUCUACUGGAACCGUUGUUUUGCCUCUUUCAACCGAUUUCACACGAAUAGUUGUGCAGGACUGCUCCCUUCUAUCGAUCGCCAUCUAAGGCUGGUGCCAGAGGACAGAGCUAUUUACCUAAGUGAGAAGCGAAACUUGACAUUUACUUCAAAAAGUGGUAAGAUUGUUGGGAAGUUCUCCAGAUCGGAUAGAAAAACAUAUCGACAAGCAUCUUGUGACGGAGAAAAGAGUAGUGUUCAUGAAAAGAGAAAGCAAGAAGCCAAUCACGGCGUAGAGGGUGUGCUUCUAAGAAACCAAAAAAGUUUAUGCCCAAAGUGGUUGCGAUUGAUCCUCCCAAGGCCAGAAAAGAACUUGCUGCACCAAUCCUUAAGCAUGCGAAAUCUUUUGUGACAACUUCUAAUGCUCGCAUCCACAACAGGAAGUCAACCAAGUAUCAAAGUAAGGAAAUCAACCAAGUAUCAAAGAGUUGCCUUACAGCCGCAAGAAGAAGUUCUUGCAAGUUGUCAAAAUAUCCAGAAAGGCAAACUCUCAAGUAUAUCUGAAAAUGAUGAUGGUGCCGAAGAAUGCACAGAAGGACACGGGGACAGUGGCAAUAAUGGGUCAGCUGGUUGUAUAAAUAAUGACAAUGGUGCUGAUGAGGCUAGGGUUAACGAGGAAGUCGAAGGAGAUGGUGGUGGGGAUUUCACCGAUCUUGAUGUAGAAGAUACGAUACCAACACCAACUAUCCUUCUUUCCGCACCAACUUUCCUCUUCCCAGCACCAACUUCCCGCUUGCCAGCACCAACUUCCCCCUUGCCAGCACCAACUUCCCCCUUGCCAGCACCAACUUCUCACUUGCCAGCACCAACUUCUCCCUUGCCAGCACCAACUUC